UCUGCAGCCAAACCCAAAGGUGGCGCCGUGCACUGUGGUGUCAUUUUGUCUGGUUUGCAAACAUGAACUUGGACCUUGUCGCCUUUCUCCGCUACUGCUGUGCUUCUGAAAGUGAAUCCAAGGUCCAACAAGU
ensembl:snoRNA small nucleolar RNA SNORA68